rnacentral:pre_miRNA from 1 species
AAAAAGACAAAUCAUGUCUUUCCGUGUCCAACUUUAACUGUCUGUCUUAUAUGAAAUUUUUUUAUAAUUCGUAUUUUUAUUAUUGUUAGAUGAUAAAACAUGAUUAAUACUUUGUGCGUGACUUGUCUUUUUAAUUUUUUUUAUAUUUUUUUAAAACAAGACGGACGGUCAAACGUUAGACACGAAAACCAGGGUUUGCCUUUUUA